rnacentral:piRNA from 1 species
UCCAAAAAUUAAACAAAGGGCAGAGAUAGC